GAAGCAAGCCAGACCGCCGCUGGCGCGAGGCCCGAAAGGGCGCGCUGGAGGAAGGUCCGGACUGCACAGGGCAGCGUAGGAGCUAACGGCUCUCCGCCGCGAGGCGAGGAUCAGAGCAACAGAGACGAGUCCCGGUGGGGCGACGCCCCGCCGGGGGUGAAACGGGCAAUCUCUACGCGCAGCAACACCGAGUAGGCACGCCGUGACCCGGCCCGGGUAGCGUGCGGGUUGGUGGCACCGAGCCGGGUGGGCGACCCCCGGCCCAGACGAAUGGCGGUCACGGGCGCGACACCGCGAGGUCGAACGCCCGCACAGAAUCCGGCCUAUCGGCUUGCUUCACGA
rnacentral:RNase_P_RNA from 1 species